GGGUUUGGAUUUCUUCUUCUGUUUAGAUCUGCUUGAGCAAAUUAAUCAGCAUAUAUGGGCACCGUGACUGAUGCUUCCAAGGAUGCUACUGGUAUUGCAUUCAUC